UGCUGCUGCUGCUGUGGAGCUCAGGAGUCCAUCUGGAAGACAGAAACCGUCCAGCUGAGGCUGAUGGUGAGUUCAGGUUGGUGGGAGGAAGCUCUGGCUGUUCAGGUGGAGUGGAGCUGAAACACCUCGGAGAAUGGAGACCAGUGAACGACGAUUACUGGA